GACGAACGCUGGCGGCGUGCUUAACACAUGCAAGUCGAACGGAAAGGCCCUGCUUGCAGGGUACUCGAGUGGCGAACGGGUGAGUAACACGUGGGUGAUCUGCCCUGCACUUCGGGAUAAGCCUGGGAAACUGGGUCUAAUACCGGAUAGGAGCCAUUUUUAGUGUGAUGGUUGGAAAGUUUUUUCGGUGUAGGAUGAGCUCGCGGCCUAUCAGCUUGUUGGUGGGGUAAUGGCCUACCAAGGCGGCGACGGGUAGCCGGCCUGAGAGGGUGGACGGCCACAUUGGGACUGAGAUACGGCCCAGACUCCUACGGGAGGCAGCAGUGGGGAAUAUUGCACAAUGGGCGCAAGCCUGAUGCAGCGACGCCGCGUGGGGGAUGACGGCCUUCGGGUUGUAAACUCCUUUCGCUAGGGACGAAGCUUUUUGUGACGGUACCUAGAUAAGAAGCACCGGCGAACUACGG
rnacentral:rRNA from 1 species